UACGGGGGGAGCAAGCGUUGUUCGGAUUUACUGGGCGUAAAGGGCGCGUAGGCGGCCACCGCAAGUCGAUUGUGAAAUCUCCGGGCUUAACCCGGAAAGGUCAACCGAUACUGCGGAGCUAGAGUGCGGAAGGGGCAACUGGAAUUCUUGGUGUAGCGGUGAAAUGCGUAGAUAUCAAGAGGAACACCUGCGGCGAAGGCGGGUUGCUGGGCCGACACUGACGCUGAGGCACGAAAGCGUGGGGAGCAAACAGG
rnacentral:rRNA from 1 species